CACGUGAGCAACCUGCCUCGAAGACCGGGAUAACAGCGGGAAACCGCUGCUAAUACCGGAUGUCCCCAUCGGGCCGCAUGACCUGAUGAGGAAAUGAAUUUCGCUUCGAGAGGGGCUCGCGGGCUAUCAGCUUGUUGGUGGGGUAACGGCCUACCAAGGCGACGACGGCUAGCUGGUCUGAGAGGACGACCAGCCACACUGGGACUGAGACACGGCCCAG
rnacentral:rRNA from 1 species